GCAUAUCAAUAAGCGGAGGAAAAGAAAAUAACAAUGAUUCCCCUAGUAACUGCGAGUGAAGAGGGGUAAGCUCAAAUNUUAAAUCUGUUUUGGUUUUACCAUGCAGAGUUGUAAUUUGAAGAAACGUUUUCUGUGUCUUGAAUUAAUUAAAAUCCCCUGGAAUGGGGUAUCAGUGAGGGUGACAGUCCCGUUCAUGGUUAAUUUUUAAGACGCUUUAUGAUACGUUUUCGAAGAGUCGAGUUGUUUGGGAUUGCAGCUCAAAAUGGGAGGUAAAUUUCUCCUAAGGCUAAAUAUUGGCGAGAGACCGAUAGCGAACAAGUACCGUGAGGGAAAGAUGAAAAGAACUUUGAAAAGAGAGUUAAAUAGUACGUGAAAUUGUUGAAAGGGAAACGAUUGAAGUCAGUCGUACCGGCGGGAAAUCAGCUUCUCGAGUGGGGGUUCGCGGGUGCGUGGAGCUUCGGCCUUCGUCGCUUGUGAUACCUUUUGCUUCUGGAGCGUACUUUUCCGUGUGGUAGGUCAACAUCGGUUUUGAUUGCCAUAAAAUGACCGGAGGAAUGUGGCUUCGAUCUUGUAUUAGAGUGUUAUAGCCUCUGGUAGAUGUGGUGGUUGGGAUCGAGGAUUGCAACGAAUACCCUUUGGGCUAUCCGCCUGACCUCUGAAAGUCGCUUGGGUACCGAAAGCUUGCUUACGGUCAUUCAAGUUGGCGGUCAAAAGGUUAGAACGUGAUUAAAUUCGUUAAGGAUGUUGACGUA
rnacentral:rRNA from 1 species